rnacentral:misc_RNA from 1 species
GAUGAAGAACGCAGCGAAAUGCGAUAAGUAAUGUGAAUUGCAGAAUUCAGUGAAUCAUCGAAUCUUUGAACGCACCUUGCGCCCUUUGGCUAUUCCGAAGGGCAUGCCUGUUUGAGUAUCGUGAACACCUCAACUCUCAUGGUUUGCCAUGAUGAGCUUGGACUUUGGGGGUUUUGCUGGCCUUUGGUCGGCUCCUCUCAAACGGAUCAGCUUUCCAGUGUUUGGUGGCGUCACGGGUGUGAUAACUAUCUACGCCUGUGGUUUUCUGCCAGAUAACCUUCAGCGAUGGAGGUUCGCUGGGGCUCAUAAAUGUCUCUCUUCAGUGGAGACAGCUUUUUGGACGUUUGAUCUCAAAUCAGGUAGGACUACCCGCUGAACUUAAGCAUAUCAAUAAGCGGAGG